rnacentral:lncRNA from 1 species
GAGGAAUAAGUCAAGAGAGAGGGAAACGCCUCCAAAUUAAUUGUUGUGGGAAGAGACAUACAGGAAGCUGGGAAGGACUCUUGAAGUCAUAGCUGCUGCAUUCCAUCCCCGCAUGUUCAGCAUUCAGACUAGUCCAAAGAUGAAUGCCACAUUUCUGUAUAUCCACUCGUUCUUUUUCUCAAAGGCUCAUGGGCAGCUCUUCUAUUUCUGAAUAACAUUAUCGUGAAGAUUUAUAUUAUGUAAUAGCAUGAAAUCCAGAAUAAAGAAUGACAAACUUGUUUGAAAACAGUUUUAGUAACUCAAAUUGCAGGUCAACUUUCCAAAACUAAAAGUUAUGGUACACCUGCAUAUUCUACUUUUUGUCUCACUUUCGUAUACUCAUUUCUAAUGUUUUUAGUUAAUAUUAUUCAUAUUUAGAGCACUGUAAUUCAUUACAGCAUUACUCAGUUAUUGGAUUUUGUAGUUUGAAUAAGAAAUAAAGUUUUAUUUUAUGAGUCAUUUUAUAUAAACAAACAAUCAUUUUGUUGAGCAAGGAUGUUUCAUUUCAUGAUGAUGGUAAAGAAUUUGGGGAUUAACUAGAUGAUAGAUGUAGAAGUUAAUAGGUCAUGACAGAGCUGAGGCAUAAUCUUUUUAAUCUUUUAUGAAUAUACUUAUAUACUGCGUGCUACGUAAAUACUAAGUAGCCAUUAUCUUUAGAUACUUAUAAAUCUCCCAGAUGUUUAAAAGCACAAGAAUUAAUAUAUGUAUAAGCCAUCCAUACAUUUUUGUUCUUUGACUUAUUUUUUAUAAGAAGCAAUAUUAUGUUUCAGAAGAAUCUCUCCAACUAACAAGCAGUGCACCAAACACUUAUUGAACUAAUUAUUAGAGUGUCUGCUUAGCAGAUUAUCCACAGGGCAUAAAAUCUGAAUUCUCUUUCUA